AAAAGAGAAGCAGAGCAUUGUGACGAGGUUGCCUUUGUGCGGCGUGCAGCCUCUGUCCCCACGACUCUGUCUUCCGGUGCCCGCCUCAUUGGAUAGCCUUCGGAACCUUCCGCUUUACCUGCCCGUCGCCAUGACACAGCAAGAUGGCGGCCCCGGCCCCUCUUCGGCGGUCUCCCCGAACGGGGAUGUCAGCGAUGUGACGCAUUCGACGGCGUACGUGGUGCUGAACGCGCUCAUCGACGAGGGCCAAAUCUCCGAGGAGCGUGCCGAUUACUUGAAGCGAAAGUUCAAAGAACUGCACUCCCGCGUUCUCGCCAUCUACAGGCGUGACAACACACUUCUGAAGCACGCGCGACAGUUGAGGAGCCGGCUUGAGGUGGAGCGGCAGCGCAUUUACACCUUCGGCGACGCAGCCAAGAAGGAUGACGAGGUGAUUCAGGCCCUCAAGCGCAACUUAAUGGAGCACGAACGUGAUCUCGCGGCUGCGUUGGAGCGCGACAGCGUCCUCCAGGUCGAGGUGCUCGAGUAUGAUCGGCGUAAGCAGCACCUCAUCCUUGAGCGCGAGGACGCCAUAGCGGCGGAGGAGGCGCGGAUACGGCCCAAGAUGGAGUCCAUGCAGGCGGAGAUCACGGAGAUGGGGACCCACAUCAAAGAACUGGCCGCAGACUUGGUCAGGUGCCAAGCGGAGAAAGAUGAGCUCGUCAAGGAAGAGGCGCAGAAGAAAGAGGAGAUCGCGAACUUCGCGACCACCUUGGCGCAGGCGAGGAAGCAGCUGCAGAACGUGCAGAGCGACCCUGAACGCGCGAAGAAGCAACUUGACCUCGUACAGGGAAGCCUGGUCGGUGCCCAGCGCGAGCUCUCCAGCACCGAGGAGAAGGUCUUGGCGCAGGCAGAGCGCAUUCAGUCGAUGGAGCUGCAGCGCAACAGCCGCGCCGAGGACCACGAAGCUGCCAAGAAGCGCUUACAGACUCUACGUGCCGAGACGGACGCGAAGCGAAAGACGCUCGCCACGAUGAACACGUCGUUGGAGGUGGAGGUGGAGACACGCCAGGCAACUCAGGAGCGCGUCGCCGAGCUCGAUCAGCUCGUCUUGUCGACGAAGAUAGCACUCCAGCAGGAGCAGGAUGGUGUCGACCGCAUCGAGCGUGAGCGGGAAAAGUGCAUGCGCAUCUUCUCCACCCUGGAGCGGGACAUGGAAGACUCGCGGCGCGAGGAGGAGUCUCUGAGGGAGCAGAUUGGCCUCCUGCACAGGGAGCUGGAGCAGGUGACGCGUGCCACGGCGCACGUGGAGAAGGAGAUCCAAGCCCACCGCAAGGAUGCUGAGGUUCGCACGAAGAAGCUGCUUUUUGAGCAGGCCAAGUCGAAGGAGUUCGUCAAGAAGGCGGAGCAGGUGCUCGCUGAGAUCCGCGAGGCUGAGGAGACGAUCGCUGUGAAGGCAAAGCAAGAGGACGUGAAGCGGCGCGAGCUGGCGGCGAUUGCGGUGAAGCGGCAGGAGUUCAGCCGAGCGAGCGCGCGCGAGGAGACCCGCGUGUAUUUGGCGCAAUGCGAGCUGCAGAUGCGCGAGGUUUUGGUCAAGGAGGCGCAGCGGCGCCACAGCGAGCUGGAAAAGCGGCUUGGGAAGGCUAUAGAUUUGUUUCAAAGGGUGAAGCAGGAGCGGGCGCAGAAAGCUACGCAAAUCCAAACGAUUGCGCAGGCCAUGGCCCAGGUGGCGGAGAAGACAAAGCUGCUCGAGAAGGAGCUCUCCGUGCUGACGCGCGAGUCUGCCCUGAAGGACCAGGAGAUCGCGAAGGCCAAGUUCCAGUUGCACGAGCUGACGCACCUGUGCGCUAACCUGCGGCUGGAGAAGAACCGGCAACGCAAGCAGAUGGAGAAGGCUGCGGACAGUGAGCGGGAGGUAAAGGCGCAGGUGCGCCGUCUGAACACCGACAUUGCGGCGACCGAAGACACAAUGGCGGACCUGCGCCGUGCCUAUGCAGCGGCGAUCGAGAACCGCAACCAGGCCGGCAUCCAACUUAUUGAUCGCAACGAUGAGGCGGCGCUGCUUGCGGCCCGCAUCAAGGCCCAGGAGUUGGCUAUCGCCGAGGGUACCCGGAUGACGAAUGACCGCGCGAAUGAGGUGCGCAUGCUCAAGACGAAACUGGGAACCUUGCUGCACGAUAUCGAGGCAUGCCAGCACUCCAUCCCGAAGGUAUCGCAGAUGGAACUGGAGCUGACGCGCCUGAGGGAGGAGAUCGAGGCGGAGCAGUGGCGCACACAGGUGCUUGAGGAUGACAUCACAGACCCCAAGAACCCGCAUCGGUGGAACCGCGUUCCGCUCGUGCUCCCGGGCAAUGCCGCCUUACCGGCAGCCAGUGAGGCGCAAGCCACGGCGGCGGCAGCGGCAAUGUGCACCCAGGCGGAUAGUGCACCGGCAGCUCUUAGCGCCUCCUCGUCCCCUGGCGAUGCAGGACAUGCCGACAAAAGCGGUGGUGAUGCCCGUGCGGCGCCGGCGCCGGCACUGGUGGGCGGCCCUUCCGAACAGUACGUAUGCUUGCAGGCUCGCUGCCAGGAGUUGGAGGCGCGAGUGCAGAAGCUGAACGCCAAGCUGCGCGAAAAGAACCUUAUCCUCGAGGAGGUGACGGAGCUGGCGGAGCGCGUCGGCGAUCAGGCGGAUGCCGGUAAGGAGUGCACACUAGCUCUAGCGCAGCAAGUCAACAAGUAUCACAGCAGCAUCCGCCACAAGAGUCGCCAGAUGAUGGCAACCAUUGCGGAGCUGUCCCUCUUUCAGGCCUCGAGCAUUCAGCUUCAGCAGGAGGUGCAGCGCCUCGAGUCCGUAGUGGAGGAAGCCGAGGAGCGCUUGGAGGCCGGCGAGGCCCCGUACGCAGAAGCCGAGCUGCAUUACGAGCGGGAGCGGCAGUGCCAGCAGCGCUACGUGGCCGCCCGCCAGCGCCAGCGCGACGCAGCUAAGGAGAGCGAGACAUCUUUGGGGAUGCAGAUGGUCGCCACUACGGCGGUGCCCCGCCCCAACGCAUACGUACCGCAAGACGACGACCUCGGCCUUCCGCGGCCCUUCGGGCCGUUUGCGCCGUUUAAAUCGGCGUCGGCGCCCCGCGUGGCGUUCAAUCCACCUCGUGCAGAGGCGUCGUUGCCGUCUGGAGCUCAAGGGCCCUCACCUGCGCCGCGAUCUAUGGAAGCGGUGCGCGGUUCCUCAGUGCCCCUCUCGGCACCUUCGUCCCCGCCGGGAACUUCGGCCGGUAUACCGUUCAAAGCCUGUGGCCCCUCCACACCGCCUCCGCUUCCAACUGCGACGGCAGCAGCUGUGACGACGACAGACGCCACCUCCUUCAGUAGCCCCGUUCCGAAGCGACGGCAGUAACGGACCUUGAUAGACGUAAGCGACGGCGCAAAAAUAUGGGGGCUGCAGCGCAUCAGCGAAACUGCACUGCCGCCUCGCAAGGGCCUAUGCGCGUCAGCCAGUGGACGAGCUCCAGCGGCACUGGUGGUGUAGGAUCACUGAGCUGCCAUGACCAAGGCACACAAAACAGUUUAUCCACGUCUGCUGCACCCCCUUUUUCGUGUGUGUGUGUGUGAAGGGCGGCUUUUGCCUUUUUCCUUCACUCUCUGUGCAGUCCUUAUUCUGUUUCCCCUCCGUCACUUGUUGAUAAACCCCCUCCACCGCCGCGGUGAUGUACAGAGCUUAUCGUGGCGCUGCUGCUGCGAGAGAAGGACAGAGCGGAGGAGAGGCAGCCGAGCGUAGACCAGUCGCAGCAGGGGGCAUACACAUUUGUGGACCUCCACCUACGCCUGUUGGGGGUUUUCGGUGCGCUUUCCUUCUCUUACCAUCUCGCAACGCGCAAGUGAAGUUUCGCUGUUUGCUCCCCUCGGUGAAGGGGAGCAGGCGGCCCACUCGAUGUACAGCGGGCGACACGCCCCUCCAACCUCCCCUUUUCGCUUUAUUUGCCCAUGCGCGCGCUCCUUGGCUGCCUCUCAGCUGAGAGCGCACACGAGGGAAGAAGGCAGCGCCCCCGUCCCCAUCCCUCAUCAUCC
rnacentral:misc_RNA from 1 species